GAUGAACGCUGGCGGCGUGCUUAACACAUGCCAGUCGAACGGAAAGGCCCAAGCUUGCUUGGGUACUCGAGUGGCGAACGGGUGAGUAACACGUGGGUGAUCUGCCCUGCACUUCGGGAUAAGCCUGGGAAACUGGGUCUAAUACCGGAUAGGACCACUUCUUGGAUGUUGUGGUGGAAAGUUUUUUCGGUGUGGGAUGAGCUCGCGGCCUAUCAGCUUGUUGGUGGGGUAAUGGCCUACCAAGGCGUCGACGGGUAGCCGGCCUGAGAGGGUGUACGGCCACAUUGAGACUGAGAUACGGCCCAGACACCGACGGGAGGCAGCAGGGGGGAAUAUUGCACAAUGGGCGCAAGCCUGAUGCAGCGACGCCGCGGGGGGGAUGACGGCCUUCGGGUUGUAAACUCAUUUCGCUAGGGACGAAGCGUUUUGUGACGGUACCUGGAGAAGAAGCACCGGCUAACUACGUG
rnacentral:rRNA from 1 species